rnacentral:rRNA from 1 species
AGAUUAAGCCAUGCAUGCGUAAGUGAAUACUAGCAACGGUGAAAACCGCGAAUGGCUCAUUAAAUCAGUUGCAUUUUACGGUAACUUGCACAAUGUGGAUAACUGUGGAAAACCUAGAGCUAAUACAUGCACCAAGUCCUGACUUCGGCAGGGACGCAUUUAUCAGAUCAAAGCCAACUUUUCCGGUUAACGCCGGUAAUGAUGACUCUGGGUAAUUACUUUGAUCGCAUUGCUACGUGAACAGGUGACGGUGACUUCGGCGCCUGACCUAUCAACUUGUGUUGGCAGUUGAUGUUACUACCCCGGUUGUUACGGGUGACGGGAAAUCGGGGUUUUAUUCCGGAGAGAGAGCAUGAGAAAUGGCUGUCACAUCCAAGGAUGGCAGCAGGCGCGCAAAUUACCCAAUUCCCGAACGGAGAGGUAGUGACGAGAAAUAGCGAGGUCGUGGUCUUUUGGCCCGACAAUUGAAAUGAGAACACUGGAACAAUGUUAUCGAGAAUCUAUUGGAGGGCAAGUUCUGGUGCCAGCAGCCGCGGUAAUUCCAGCUCGAAGACGUAUGUCAAAGUUGCUGCGGUUAAAACGCUCGUCGUUGGACAUCAGGAUGUGGGCCGUAGACGACCAAGUGUUGUUACUACGUGUCUGCUCCUAAUAUUAUGCUUGUCUCUUGAGAUGCGCUUUGUUGUGUGUCUCGGUGAAGAGCCACUGUCACUUUGAGAAACUCAGUGUGCUCAAUGCAGGCUAACUGCUCGAAUUACGCUGCAUGGGAUGAUGAAAUGGGGUCUCCGCUCCGUUUCGUUGGUUUACGAAAGCAGAGAUUAAUCGGGACAGACGGGGGCAUUCGUAUUGCGGUAGCUAGAAGUGAAAUUCUGUGACCAUCGCAAGACGAACAACUGCGAAAGCAUUUGCCAAGAAUGUUUUCGUUAAUCACGAACGAAAGUUAGAGGUACGAAGACGAUUGAUAACCGUCCUAGUUUUAACGGUAAACUGUGCCGGCCAGGAAUUCGCCAACGCAAUAACUUGGCGAGCGCUUUCCGGGAAACCAAAGCGAUUUGGUUCCGGGGAGAGUAUGGUUGCAAAAUCGAAACUUAAAGGAAUUGACGGAGGGGCACACCAGGAGUGGAGCCUGCGCUCAAUUUGACUCAACGCACGAAAGCUUACUCGGUCCGAACACUGUGAGGAUUGACAGGCUGAAAGCUCUUUCUUGAUUCAGUGGGUAGCGGUGCAUGGCCGUUCGUAGUCCGUGAAGCGAUUUGUCUGGUUGAUUCCGAUAACGAACUCGGCCUACUAAUUAAAGUAGCGAUCAAUUGUCGCUACAAUGACUAUUAAAGGGACAAGUGCUUUCUAAGCACGCGAAGUUGAGCAAUAACAGGUCUGUGAUGCCCUUCGAAGUUCGAGGCUGCACGCGCGCUACAAUGGCAGCCACAGAGCGCACAACGCUUCCUGUAACGGAUGCGGAAACGUCAAUGGCUUUCGUGACUGGGAUCAGGGACUGAAACUUUUAUUUGUGAACGAGGAAUUUCUAGUAAGCGCGGGUCAUUACCCCGCACUGAUUAAGUCCCCGCCCUUUGUACACACCGCCCGUCGCUCCUACCGAUGAAUGUUUUGGUGAGGUCUGCCGAGAGGUGUCAUUAAGGCUUCUGCCUCAUUGUAUCCUUAUCAAGCCGGUCGAAUUUAAGCGUUUGGAGGAAGUAAAAGUCGUAACAAGGUUUCCGUAGGUGAACCUGCAGAAGGAUCA